rnacentral:rRNA from 1 species
GCCAGACUCCUACGGGAGGCAGCAGUCGGGAAUAUUGCGCAAUGGAGGAAACUCUGACGCAGUGACGCCGCGUAUAGGAAGAAGGUUUUCGGAUUGUAAACUAUUUUCGUGAGGGAAGAAAUUGACAGUACCUCAGGAGGAAGCUCCGGCUAACUCCGUGCCAGCAGCCGCGGUAAUACGGAGGAUGCGAGCGUUAUCCGGAUUUAUUGGGUUUAAAGGGUGCGUAGGGGGACGCUUAAGUCAGGGGUAAAAUUGCGGGGCUCAACCUCGUCGAGCCGUUGAAACUGGGUGCCUUGAGUGGGCGAGAAGUACGCGGAAUGCGUGGUGUAGCGGUGAAAUGCAUAGAUAUCACGCAGAACUCCGAUUGCGAAGGCAGCGUACCGGCGCCCAACUGACGCUGAAGCACGAAGGCGUGGGUAUCGAACAGGAUUAGAUACCCCCGUAC